GUGCCAGCCGCCGCGGUAAUACGGAGGGUGCAAGCGUUAUCCGGAUUUAUUGGGUUUAAAGGGUCCGUAGGCGGAUGCGUAAGUCAGUGGUGAAAUCUCACAGCUCAACUGUGAAACUGCCAUUGAUACUGCGUGUCUUGAGUGAGGUUGAGGUAGCUGGAAUAAGUAGUGUAGCGGUGAAAUGCAUAGAUAUUACUUAGAACACCAAUUGCGAAGGCAGGUUACUAAGUCUCAACUGACGCUGAUGGACGAAAGCGAGGGGAGCGAACAGGAUUAGAUACCCUGGUAGUCCACGCUGUAAACGAUGCUAACUCGUUUUUGGGGAUUUAUCUUCAGAGACUAAGCGAAAGUGAUAAGUUAGCCACCUGGGGAGUACGAACGCAAGUUUGAAACUCAAAGGAAUUGACGGGGGCCCGCACAAGCGGUGGAUUAUGUGGUUUAAUUCGUUGAUACGCGAGGAACCUUACCAAGGCUUAAAUGGGAAUUGAUCGGUUUAGAAAUAGACCUUCCUUC
rnacentral:rRNA from 1 species